CGCUGGCGGAAUGCUUAACACACCAAGUCGCACGGGCAUCAAUGUCAGUGGCGGACGGGUGAGUAACGCGUAGGAAUGUGUCCUGGGAUGGGGGAUAACGUCGGGAAACUGGCGCUAAUACCGCAUAUGAGCUGAGGCUCAAAGCCGCGAGGCGUCUUAGGAGCAGCCUGCGUCCGAUUAGCUUGUUGGUGGGGUAAAGGCUUACCAAGGCGACGAUCGGUAGCUGGUCUGAGAGGAUGAUCAGCCACACUGGAACUGAGACACGGUCCAGACUCCUACGGGAGGCAGCAGUGGGGAAUAUUGGACAAUGGGCGGAAGCCUGAUCCAGCAAUUCCGCGUGGGUGAAGAAGGUCUUCGGAUUGUAAAGCCCUUUCGACGGGGACGAUGAUGACGGUACCCGUAGAAGAAGCCCCGGCUAACUUCGUGUCAGCAGCCGUAAUACGAAGGGGGCUAGCGUUGCUCGGAAUGACUGGGCGUAAAGGGCGCGUAGGCGGCACACAUAGUCAGGCGUGAAAUUCCUGGGCUUAACCUGGGGGCUGCGUUUGAUACAUGUGAGCUAGAGGAUGGAAGAGGCUCGUGGAAUUCCCAGUGUAGAGGUGAAAUUCGUAGAUAUUGGGAAGAACACCGGUGGCGAAGGCGGCGAGCUGGUCCAUUACUGACGCUGAGGCGCGAAAGUGUGGGGAGCAAACAGGAUUAGAUACCCUGGUAGUCCACGCUGUAAACGAUGUGCGCUGGAUGUUGGGUGACUUAGUCACUCAGUGUCGUGGAUAACGCGAUAAGCGCACCGCCUGGUGAGU
rnacentral:rRNA from 1 species